UACGAAGGGGGCGAGCGUUGUUCGGAUUUACUGGGCGUAAAGGGCGCGCAGGCGGUCAUUUUUGUCGAGUGUGAAAGCCCCGGGCUUAACCUGGGAACUGCGCUCGAAACGGGAUGACUAGAGAUCGGGAGAGGAGAGUGGAAUUCCCAGUGUAGAGGUGAAAUUCGUAGAUAUUGGGAAGAACACCGGUGGCGAAGGCGGCAUCCUGGACCGACAUUGACGCUGAACGGCGAAAGCUAGGGGAGCAAACGGG
rnacentral:rRNA from 1 species